CCUACGGGUGGCAGCAGUAGGGAAUCUUCCGCAAUGGGCGAAAGCCUGACGGAGCAACGCCGCGUGAGUGAUGAAGGUCUUCGGAUCGUAAAACUCUGUUAUCAGGGAAGAACAAAUGUGUAAGUAACUGUGCACAUCUUGACGGUACCUGAUCAGAAAGCCACGGCUAACUACGUGCCAGCAGCCGCGGUAAUACGUAGGUGGCAAGCGUUAUCCGGAAUUAUUGGGCGUAAAGCGCGCGUAGGCGGUUUUUUAAGUCUGAUGUGAAAGCCCACGGCUCAACCGUGGAGGGUCAUUGGAAACUGGAAAACUUGAGUGCAGAAGAGGAAAGUGGAAUUCCAUGUGUAGCGGUGAAAUGCGCAGAGAUAUGGAGGAACACCAGUGGCGAAGGCGACUUUCUGGUCUGUAACUGACGCUGAUGUGCGAAAGCGUGGGGAUCAAACAGGAUUAGAUACCCGAGUAGUC
rnacentral:rRNA from 1 species